AUUGAACGCUAGCGGGAUGCUUUACACAUGCAAGUCGAACGAGUGGCGGACGGGUGAGUAAUAUAUCGGAACGUGCCCAGUAGCGGGGGAUAACUACUCGAACGAGUGGCUAAUACCGAAUACUAGUGGAGCGGCCGAUAUCGGAUUAGCUAAGUGGUGGGUUAAAGGCUCACCAAGGCACCGAUCCGUAGCUGGUUUGAAAGGACGACCGGCCACACUGGGACUGAGACACGGCCCAGACUCCUACGGGAGGCAGCAGUGGGGAAUUUUGGACAAUUGGGGAAACCCUGAUCCAGCCAUCCCGCGUGUAUGAGAAGGCCCUAGGGUUGUAAAGUACUUUCAGUCGGGAGGCGUUACCGACAGAAGAAGCACCGGCUAACUCCGUGCCAGCAGCCGCGGUAAUUC
rnacentral:rRNA from 1 species